ensembl:lncRNA
AAGCCAGGCUCCAGGUGUGCAUAGCUGAUAACUAAACAUCAUUCAGAGUAGCUGGUCUCAGCGUGAGGAAUUGUGUCUCGGUGCAACAACAGGUAUGCAUAGACAAUAGCAAGGUGUUGAACAGCAGUUGGAAAUGUUUAGGAAGCUGUACAGCAUCACCUGCUGUGUCCUCCAGCAUCAGAAAUGUUGACCCAUCCUUCCCUCAGCACCUGGCCUUAUUUUCUGUAGUUCCAAAGGAGCUAAUGAAGUUUUAGGCAACUGUAGCAGCUUGUAAAGAAAGAAAGAAGUGAUCCAGUGGGACUGCAGGAAGAGGUCAGUUCAGACUUGUUCAAAUUCAAACCCUUUGCUCAGGUUACAGAAGCCAAAGAAGCAUGCACACUCACUCCAUUACCUGGUAGAAGCAGCUACACCUGAACUCAGCGAUGUCUCAUUUGCCUAAAGACAAACAAUGUGAUCGUGUUCCUCAGAGCUUUGGUGUCACUCAUGGAUGUUUGACACAAGCUGUACUUAUGCUACAAAGUUAUCGAAUUACUGUCUGCACCAAGCAUUAUACGGUCAUUAUAAUACUGUCCUGGGAGAAGCCUUGCUAUUUUACCUGAUGGAAAGGUCUUUCUAACCCACAACAAUGUAUCUUCUCUGUUUCUGCUUUGCAAGUGUGAUGACAGACUUUUAUCAGGGAAUAGCUAGACUGUGCAGUGGCUGGGUGUAGUCAGCCACGAGGAAGAGUCAGGACUUGCUAUGACCCUUUAACUUUGACAAGAGCUAUUCAACUUUCAGCCUGGUGGGUUUAACACCAGCUGCACAAUUAGAUCCAUGGUCAGUAGAGCUGAGACAUCCGUGGGCAGCACAGAUGGUCGGCGUGGUUGGGUCCUUGAGGAGUAGGAGCAGUCAUCGGGAGGCGCGUCUGCUCUUCCUCUGAAGCACAGGGGUUAUUGGAGCUAAUUUGUAACUUGCUGAGAAGUCAUGCUGGUGAUGGGGUAGUCAACAGCAAGUGAGCUGAGGUAAGAAGCAUGACCAUGUAGCUCUGCAUACAUUCAGUGUCCCACACCCACGACAAGACUAUUAUUUCAACAGCCACAAGAGCUCAGAUGUGUGUUCGUAGCCACAAGAGUUCAGAAAUGUGUUCAUACAGCUGCAAGGCAGGCAAGCUCUAGAACAAGAAAUACACGUUUUACUCCUUAAGU